UACGGAGGGUGCAAGCGUUAUCCGGAAUCACUGGGUUUAAAGGGUGCGUAGGCGGCGUGGUAAGUCAGGGGUGAAAGGCCACCGCUCAACGGUGGGACUGCCCUUGAUACUGCCGGGCUUGAAUCGGCGCGAGGCAGGCGGAACGUGGCAUGUAGCGGUGAAAUGCUUAGAUAUGCCAUAGAACACCGAUUGCGAAGGCAGCCUGCCAGAGCCUGGAUUGACGCUGAGGCACGAAAGCGUGGGGAGCGAACAGG
rnacentral:rRNA from 1 species